CACGUAGGGCGCAAGCGUUGUCCGGAAUUAUUGGGCGUAAAGAGCUCGUAGGUGGUUUGCUGCGUCCGCUGUGAAAACCCAAGGCUUAACCUUGGGCUUGCAGUGGAUACGGGCAGACUAGAGGUAGGUAGGGGAGAAUGGAAUUCCCGGUGUAGCGGUGAAAUGCGCAGAUAUCGGGAGGAACACCGGUGGCGAAGGCGGUUCUCUGGGCCUUACCUGACGCUGAGGAGCGAAAGCGUGGGGAGCAAACAGG
rnacentral:rRNA from 1 species